GUAGGGAAUAUUGCUCAAUGGGGGAAACCCUGAAGCAGCAACGCCGCGUGAGUGAUGAAGGCCUUCGGGUCGUAAAGCUCUGUUGUACGGGGCGAAUGCCUUUGUGGCUAAUAUCCACAGAGAGUGACAGUACCGUAUAAGAAAGGACCGGCUAACUUCGUGCCAGCAGCCGCGGUAAGACGGGGGGUCCAAGCGUUGUUCGGAAUCAUUGGGCGUAAAGCGUGUGCAGGUGGUUUUGUAAGUUGGAUGUGAAAGCCCCGGGCUUAACUCGGGAAGUGCAUUCAAAACUGCAAAACUUGAGUAUGGAAGAGGGUCGUGGAAUUCCAGGUGUAGUGGUGAAAUACGUAGAUAUCUGGAGGAACACCGGUGGCGAAGGCGGCGACCUGGUCCUAUACUGACACUCAUACACGAAAGCGUGGGGAUCAA
rnacentral:rRNA from 1 species